UAGGGGAAUUUUACUUAUUUUUCACAUAUAUAUGCUUGUAACCAAUUACUUUAAUAUAUACUUGUACUUGUACUCACUUAUCUAUCAUGCAAAUAUGCUAAUUAGAAUAUUACAUGGCCAAAACAUGUAUCAGGCACCAGUAUUCCUGGUCUAGGAGUAAACAAAGGAGUAAUGGUCAUUUUAAGGACCUGACGGCCGCCAUUUUGAAAAUAGGGCCUUUCUUGGAGUCAAACAUUGGUAAACUUUUAGUAUGUUUUUAAGUACAUCUGAUACUACUGUAAACCACUGACAAACCUUUUGUUAGAUUUUUUUUCAGGUCAAGUCAUAUUUGCAGCUGACUAAACUGAGCUUCCUGUCUUCCAAAGGAUGUCAGUUCUACACAAGGUAGAAAAAGGCACAGUUCGACCCUCCCUAUCACCACUGAGCUCACCCAUGGGAGAUUUGCCAAGCAAAAACCAAACCAUUUUGAACAGGUUGUGAGUUGUUACCACAAGUGUUUUUUAGGAAAAAUUUCUGAGGGGAACAUAAAAAUGUGCAUCUCCUGAAAACACUUGUGGUAACCCCUUAGAAAUUUCUUCUGAAAAACAGAUUGCAGUAACAACAAUGAACCUGUUCAAAAUGGUUUGGAAACCUAAAAGUCCAUAUGAUGACCUGAGUUUAAAAAAUGCUUUCUCUGGCUGGAAAUAUCGACACUAUUUUGUCUUCAAAGCUGAAAGUGGGAGGGAACAUAACAGUGCAGUGCACCUUAUGCCUCCCCGCGGUGAAAAUACUGUCGUUAUCUAAGGACUCAUUUAAUGAAGCAUUUACAGGUAACACCAACACUGCUAACGUGUACACAGACAUCCAGUCAGUUAAGCGACUAUCACUUAAACAACAUUCAAACAGCAUUUGUAAACUAUACUACUAGGCUAUACUACUCUGUAGAUCCACCCUAUAAUUUAUUCUUAAGACUUGGUUUCUUCAUGUUCUUUUCUAAGGUUACAUUGUGCUGUUACAAAAUACGCUUAAGUAAACGCCAUCUUAUUGAUGUCUCUUUUCUGUUGUCUUCAUUUUCAUUCAAAUUUGGCAUUGAGAUCAUCCAAAAGUAACGGAAAGUCAUCAAAUAUUGUGAUACUUGAAUAAGAUUACUGAAUAACAUUUUUAACAGGUAAUUAGUAAUUGUAACGGAAUACAUUUUUAAAGUAACCCUCCCAACCCUGUUCCUAUCUGAAUCCCCUCUGGACAGCGAUACAGGGCCAUCAUGACCAAAACAUCACGUCACCUCAACAUUUUUUUCCCCCAAGCAAUAGCCUUCCUAAAUAGCUCUUACACA
ensembl:lncRNA